CUGAGAUUGCACCACCGUACUCAAGCCUGGGCUACAGAGCGAAAUUCCAUCUCAAAACAAACAAACAAACAAUUACAAAAAUUAGCCAGGAGUGGUGGUGGGUGCCUAUAAUCCCAGCUACUCAGGAGGCUUAGGCAGGAGAAUCGCUUGAAUCCAGGAGGCGGAGGUUGCAGUGAGCCGAGAUCCUGCCACUGCGCUCCAGCCUGGCCACAGAGCAAGACUCCAUCUCAGAAAAAAAAAAAAGAAAGAAAGAAAAGAAAAUCUGUAGAAGAAUACGUAAGAAAGCACUAUUGGUAGUUAUUUCUGGAAGAUAAGACUGAGAAGGAACAUGACAUUUACUUUUCACUUCAAUCCAUAGUAUUUCUCUUGUCAUUAGAAUCAGAGAAUUUAUUGGUAUAAAAAUACCCAGGACUCCUACCGUGGUAAUUUGAAAAUUUGUUUCCAGAUAGUCUAAAUAUAAAACACUCUGGAAAAAGCUGCCUCAAUCCUGUCCCCUGGGACCCUCAGCAAGGGGCCUGUUAACCACGAUUCCACUUCAGCAAAGAAGCCCCACCAGAAGGAAAAAACCACGCACCAGCCAGGACUCUACGGGAGAGAGAAGCCCACCAAAGGCUUUAGAGGAUAACAUCGCAGUUGUUCUCCAUGUUACUUUUUUCUCCAAGCAUGAUAGCUUAACAAAUGCCGAAUGGCUGGCUAAAGAAUCAGAAUUGAGACUUCAGCUGUUUGACUCCAGCUGCUAACCUCUAGACUGUUAAGGGUAUUUGAGCUUAUACUCUAUAAACAGAAUUCAGAAUCCUCCGGAGGCCCACCCAGCCCACUUCAUCCAGCCUCUGUGUCCUGGGAGGUCUUUACAUGUGAGAACGGUCACAGCAUCAGUUUUCCAAACCAGAGAAGAGUCUCAAAGUGUCUUCUGCAAAUGGCACCAAUCUCAGGUGUUACUCAUGCCUUUCUGAGAAAAUGUCUUGAAUAUUUCAUCAAAUGUGAGGGGAAAAAUCCAUAAAUAUGUAACUUCGACCCAUGUGAUGACAAGCCUUUGGCUAGUGCUGUUGCCAGCCAUGCUUUGCAGUCACUGACACAAACAGCGGGGGACGCAACUGAGGCAGGACCAAGCCCUCCAUUUUGCCAUCUGCUUGUUCUGAAUUUCUGAACUGGGCCAAGUCGAUGCUGUUUUUCACGAAAAUCUCUCCAUGGGUGGAAUACAAUGCAGCCAUAAAAAAGAAUGCGUUCAUGUCCUUUGCAGGGACAUGGAUGAAGCUGGAAGCCAUCAUUCUCAGCAAACUAACACAGGAACAGAAAACCAAACACCGUAUGUUCUCACUCAUAAGUGGGAGUUGAACAAUGAGAACACAUGGACACAGGGAGGGGAACCUCACACACCGGGGCCUGCUGGCAGGUGGGGGGCAAGGGGAGGAAGAGCAUUGGGACAAAUACCUAAUGCAUGUGGGGCUUAAAACCUAGAUGAUGGGUUGAUGGGUGCAGCAAAUCACCAUGGCACAUGUAUACCUACGUAACAAACCUGCUCGUUCUGCACGUGUAUCCCAUAACUUAAAGUUAAAAAUAUAUAUAUAUGGAGAUAUAUCUAUCUAUCUAUCUAUCUAUCUAUCUAGAUAGAUAGAUAGAUAGAUAUCUCUCUAUCUAUCUAGAUAGAUAGAUAUAUAGAUAUAUAUCUCUCUCCAUGGGAUCCUGCAAAUAAAACAAAGAGGGAAUUCUAAAAACCUAAUAGCAAUCUAGAGUUUACACACUAUUUAGUGAAUGGAGCAGUCUGUAAAUCAAGUAUUCUAGUUAAAUCAGAGGCGUCUAUGUAUAUAUGGAACAUAAAAUGUCAGUUUUCAAAGAAUCUGUAUAUAAUUCCUGACACUCAAACUGGACAUAUUUUCAUCUUUGUUUGAGAAUUCAGAAGUCUGGGUUGUAUCCCGAGGUUACUAUCAGACAUAUCAAUCACCACAUUGUAAACUUCCAGUGAAGAAGAGAAGUACAAUUUAAAUGGGAUUUACUGUAUGACAGAGAGUAUAUUGUUUUUGUCUAUGGAUUGAAAGAAUGUCCUAAAUUUUUAUUUCCAUAUUUUAUCCUACAUAAACCAGAAUCCAUGAAAGUGGUCAACUGAGUAAGUAACAUGUAAAUAUUUUUUUGUCCAGAAUAGCUAUGGUCAAGUUCACUUGAAAAACGGGCUAUUUUCUACUGUGUUAGCCCUUUUAAUCUUCCUAAAGCUUGAUAUAUUGAAUAACUGUGAAUUUGUACUAUGGAUUCAAUGACAAGAGCUAUGAACAUAGAGAUGGGCAAAUGGAAAAAUUACUGGAAUUUGUCCAAAAAGUUGGUUCAGGACUUCAAGGAAACAUCAGAGAAACUUCCAACUCCUCAAGGUCCCCCUUUCUGUUAUUCUCUGAUAAACCUAGAGAAACUCUCUCAUUCCCAGUCCUUGGAGUUUUUCUCCCCAGUCCUAUUUCUUCACCUUCCUUGAGACUAAACUUCAACUUUCCAGGAGAUCUCAGGUCUGGAUCAUCACUUUCUCAAUGUCGUUGCCCCAGGUGAGGCCCUUGGUAAAGCCGUCUUCAUUUUUGAUUCUAUCCCCAGUGGACUAUGUCAGCUGAAGUCAGUACUUUGAGAGUUAAGGCAAUACUGAUCCUCUGCUGAGACCUCUGGGGUACUGGCAUGUAGCGCAACAUUGCUAAACAGGGAAAGAUUCUCUUUGAGUUCUCCCAUAACUCACGUACUUAAUGAUGAUGCAAACACAAAAGUGAUUCUUCAUGUCAGUAAAUGUAUAACUGUUGGUUACAUGUUAAAAUAUGUUUCUAUGUGCUGGCCAAGUAGUUUAUUGAUAAUAUAAUGGUUUUCUUCUCACUAAUUAAAAAUAUUAGAGGCAGCAAUGAUAUGGAUUCUGAAUCAAACCUUGCAGUCCACCCACCUCUAGCCAAAGAGUCCCUAAUGGAUAGCCUCUGCUGUAUUCAUUUCAGAGGAAAAUAGAAUUCUAAAGAUGUCACUCUAAGAUUAUUCAACCAAACAGGAAUCUAGGUACUGCUAUGAAUUUUGCAGAUAUCAUUAAGGAUCUAGGUCUUAAAAUAGGGAUAUUAUCCUGGAUUAUCUGAAUGUGCCAAAUCUAAUCAUUUGAGCCCAUAAGUCAGAGAUAUUUCUCUAUCUGCAGUCAGAGAGACACAGCUGCAGAAGGGGAGAAAGAUGAGGCUGGGAGUGAAGGGGGUCAGAGAGAGGAGAGUGAGAUAAAUAUUUAGCCAGCCUUUGUUGGCUUUGAAGAUAGAGGAAUUGAGCCAUGAUAUAGGGAAUGUGGGCAGGGUCUAGAGGCUGAGAACAAUGUUCUGUGGACAGCCAGCGAGAAAAUAGGGGCCUACUUUCUACAACCACAAGGAACUGAAUGCAGUCAACCUCCUGAAUCAGCCUGGAAUGGAUUCUCCCCAAAGACCCUCCAGUAAGAAACGCAGCCCUGCCCAUACCUCAGCAUUGUAAGAUGCUAAGCUGAGCCUACCAGACUUACAACAUACAAAACUGAGAGAAAAUACAUGGAUAAUUGUUAAGCUGUUAUGAAAGGAGUAAUUUCUUACAACAGCAAUAAGAAACUAAUAAAAUGUCCCAAAUAAAAAUGUACUCAUCUCCAAUAAGGACUUCGUUUUUUCCAAAUUCCAUGCCAUAUGUAAUUUUCUAAGAAAAAAUAUCUUUGAUUCAAUUUUUCACUUUCUUUCACUAGGAUGUAGAGAUGGAUCCAAAAAGUCCAUAUUUGCUCUAAAGUAGAAAUCCAUAUUUAUUAUAGAGUAAGGGUUAUAUUGAGCUUCUAAUGGCAUGAAGUUUUUUGGUUAUUCGCACACUAUUAGAGUACAGGAAAGUCAUUGUAUAAUAGAAAUGUUUGUUCAUUUAAUACAAAGCCACUCAGUUUUGUGAGGCAAAAGAAAAGUUUUAGAACCCUAUCAAAUGCAUGUAACGCCCAAAUUAGACCUAUCUUUUACAGCAAAUAAAUCCAAUUUUAGAAUUGAUCUUAAGGAUUCUCAGUUGAAUGUUGGAAAGCUUUAAAUGCCUUGUAAUAGUCCCAGGAAUGGAUGCAAUAUCAUCUUUAUAAAACCUUGUAGUAAAAACUGAGGGAAUUCAGUCAGAAAUGCCAACCAACAAUUCUGGUAGACCUUAAGGAAGUCAUGAUUUAUUUUCCUCAGGCAUGAGGAAUCAUUUUUAACAAGUAUGAUGACUAUAUAUAUAGCUAAUGUCUCUCAACCAGAGUUUCUUAGUGCAAUUUGAAAGAGCUGACGAGGCAGUAGCAUGAUUUAACCAAAUUUCAUUUAUUGUAACGCAUGCUAACGUCAGCUGCCUUUGCAAGCAGUAGCAUGUGAGGAACAAGCCUAGAGCAGCCACGAGAGGCAGCCUGACCUGACUGACAAGGGAAGAAUUAGGAAGAUGAGUGGGUGUGUCCCACAACUGGACAUGGUCUGCAUUCCCACUAAGAUUUAUCUUAGUGAUAAAAUUAAUAACUAUCCAUAAGGAGGCUUCUUGGCUCUGAACUGCCCUCUUUGUAACAAUAUGGUGUUGAUAUUAGGAAAAGAAGGGUCAGAAGAAAGCAUGGCCCUAGAUUUGGACCGUCUGCAUUUCUGUUCAUCAGAGUGGACUACAAAGUAAUCAAAUGCACAGUUUUCAUUUUGUUUUUAGUUUGAAACAACAAUUUCUAUUGGCAUAUGUUUUACUUCAAAUUCUGUUUUCCGAAAAAAGUGAAAAAGCAAAUUAAUUCCAAAGAAGCAAAGUCAGCCAAUUAGCUUGUAAAGGACUGAGACUCGAAAAUCUGGAUUCCAUGUCUGGUUCUGCCAGUGAGCCUGGAAGGUGAAAAUGAACACCUCACGGGUUUGGAGGGCCUCGCCUUACACUCUCCUUCUAUCAUAAUAAGGCAAACAAAUAAUGUGGUGCCUGAGGGCACAGACUUCCAAGUCACAGAACUGGCUUCCAGUCCCACCUCUGCCACUUAGUGGCUGUGUGUCUUUGCAUUACUUAAUGUCUUCAAAUCUCCAUUUCUUUACCUGUAAAAUGAGUAUAAUCAUAGCUGUCUCAUAGAGAUGGUGUAAUAAUUGAAUAACAUAAGUUUAGCACAGUGCCUUGCACAUAGUGAGCACUCACAAAUGUCAACUGUUGUUAUUAUUACAACUAUUAAAUGGUACUAGCAGAUACCUUUGUGCAACAUAUGCAAUAUGUCUUUAUGAGGCAUUCCUAAUUUCACAUUUAUCUACAGAUAUACAUAAUCAGAACCAAAUGAUUACCAAAUACAUUGGUUUAUGUCAUCUAGUUCCCAAAAAGUAAAUCUCAUUGGCCACACACAUUCUACCUCCACAACUUUGUAUUCCUGAUGUGUCCUAAUCUAUAAAACUGACUCACACUGCAUGAAUUCAAAUAACAUUGUGUUAAAAAGAAAAGAAGACAGAGAGAGAGACAGUGACAAUGUGAGAAGGAAGCUGUUAGUACAGGGCAAAGCCAACAUGCAGAGGGCAAACCAACCACAUUUGUCUUUGUCAUCACCAUCUGGCCCCAUUUCCAAAGUUUAGAGACCAUUUUUGUACCUUCAGCUUAUUAAUUGGGUUUCUGUUACCUACAACAUCCACCAUUGCCAGUCUGGAGCCAGGGUUGAGCCCUGCAGUCUCAAUGCUUACACUAGCAACAAGCUUCCUAAAAAUCAAAAGUAGUAACAAUUAGGAAGGCUUUAAAGUGUCACUUCAAGGUGACAGUCCCUGCCAGUGCCCAGUGAAGGUGUCCUAUUCUCAGAGGACCAAGGCAUUCUGUUUAAAACAGUCAGGAAGCUUUUCAGAUAACUAAAUUUGUCAAACAAAUGGAAACCUCAAAAACCUGGGGUUACCAUAUCUGGGUUUGUCACUGAUGGGUAUAAUCUCAAUCUCACGCGUAUGUUGACAAAGAGUAAUGCACUAAAUAAGAAGGAAGAUUUGUCUCUUUGCCCCCAUUCUAUGACUCCAAGAAGCUAGACGUGAGCAUGGGUUAUAGUUACAUAAAUCUUUGAGUCAGAAUAUACAGGUUUAGACCCUGGCUCUUUGUAACUCUGAUCUAAUCAAACUGCCUUAAAUCUCAGUUUCCUUAUCUAUAAAAUAAUUAUAUAUAUAUAUAUAUAUACACACACACACACACACAAACUGGACAGUGAUAAGGAAUUAAAUGGGCCUUCACGUAGGAAAUCUCCUGGAUUUAGUAUGUUUGUAAUAAAGCUUUGUGUCCUGCUUCAUGUCCCUACCCUGACCUCUAUCAACUCCUGAUUAUUUGUCAGCUGAUUUUACUGGUCAAGGAUUACAUAGAUCUUUUCUUUUUCUCGCUCUCUCUUUUCUGCAUUUCCAUAGUUGCCAGGCUCUUCAUUUAAGGUUAGCCUGACCAAAACAGGAAACCAAAGCGGACUUAUCAAGCAUUCCUACAGAAUGUUAUGAAAGAAAAUUACUAGUACUGGUCUUCAAUAAAAUUUGUGAAUUUCAUUUCUCCAGAUUUUCUUGAAUACUAUUAAAAGCCUACACGUUUGUAUUAGUAAUACAGAUACAACGACCAAUAUUAUUCCUUCAUGACUCGCUUGGCUUAAAAAUAGAAGAAAAUUGAAAUAGCAUUUUAGUAACAAGAUUGUUUCGUGUUAACUAAUGCCAUUUCAGAAUGAUCAUUAUCUUUAAGAAAUAUUUUCAUGAAAUCUGAAUUUAUUCUUUUACCUUUCCUAA
rnacentral:lncRNA from 10 species